rnacentral:rRNA from 1 species
GACGAACGCUGGCGGCGUGCUUAACACAUGCAAGUCGAACGGAAAGGCCCUGCUUUUGUGGGGUGCUCGAGUGGCGAACGGGUGAGUAACACGUGAGUAACCUGCCCUUGACUUUGGGAUAACUUCAGGAAACUGGGGCUAAUACCGGAUAGGAGCUCCUGCUGCAUGGUGGGGGUUGGAAAGUUUCGGCGGUUGGGGAUGGACUCGCGGCUUAUCAGCUUGUUGGUGGGGUAGUGGCUUACCAAGGCUUUGACGGGUAGCCGGCCUGAGAGGGUGACCGGCAACAUUGGGACUGAGAUACGGCACAGACUCGUACGGGAGGCAGCAGUGGGGAAUAUUGCAUAAUGGGCGGAAGCCUGAUGCAGCAACGCCGCGUGCUGGAUGACGGCCUUCGGGUUGUAAACCGCUUUCGCCUGUGACGAAGCGUGAGUGACGGUAAUGGGUAAAGAAGCACCGGCUAACUACGUG